UACGUAGGGCGCAAGCGUUUGUCCGGAAUUAUUGGGCGUAAAGAGCUCGUAGGCGGCUUGUCACGUCGGGUGUGAAAGCCCGGGGCUUAACCCCGGGUCUGCAUCCGAUACGGGCAGGCUAGAGUGUGGUAGGGGAGAUCGGAAUUCCUGGUGUAGCGGUGAAAUGCGCAGAUAUCAGGAGGAACACCGGUGGCGAAGGCGGCAUCCUGGACCGGCAUUGACGCUGAGGCGCGAAAGCUAGGGGAGCAAACGGG
rnacentral:rRNA from 1 species